rnacentral:rRNA from 1 species
GUGUCAGCCGCCGCGGUAAUACGAAGGGGGCUAGCGUUGUUCGGAAUUACUGGGCGUAAAGCGCGCGUAGGCGGUUUUCCAAGUCGGGCGUGAAAGCCCCGGGCUCAACCCGGGAAAUGCGCUCGAAACUUGAAGACUGGAGGCCGGAAGAGGGUAGUGGAAUUCCCAGUGUAGAGGUGAAAUUCGUAGAUAUUGGGAAGAACACCAGUGGCGAAGGCGGCUACCUGGUCCGGAUCUGACGCUGAGGCGCGAAAGCGUGGGGAGCAAACAGGAUUAGAAACCCCUGUAGUCC